rnacentral:rRNA from 1 species
CCUACGGGAGGCAGCAGUGGGGGAUAUUGCACAAUGGGGGGAACCCUGAUGCAGCGACGCCGCGUGGGUGAAGAAGCGCCUCGGCGCGUAAAGCCCUGUCAGCAGGGAAGAAAAUGACGGUACCUGAAGAAGAAGCCACGGCUAACGACGUGCCAGCAGCCGCGGUAAUACGUAGGGGGCAAGCGUUAUCCGGAUUUACUGGGGGUAACGGGGGCGGAGACGGCGCGGCAAGCCAGGAGUGAAAGCCCGGGGCCCAACCCCGGGACUGCUCUUGGAACUGCGUGGCGGGAGUGCAGGAGGGGCUGGCGGAAUUCCUGGUGUAGCGGUUACCUGCGUAGAUAUCAGGAGGAACACCGGUGGCGAAGGCGGCCUGCUGGACUGCACCUGACGUUGAGGCCCGAAAGCGUGGGGAGCAAACAGGAUUAGAUACCCCUGUAGUC